ACGGCUCAGUAACACGUAGGCAACCUGACCUUGGGAGGCGGAUAACCACGGGAAACUGUGGGUAAUACGCCGUAAUUGACAAGCCCUGGAAAGCGCUGUCAGUGAUAAGAGCAUGAGAAAUGGAUUAUGUUCGCCCAAGGAUGGGCCUGCGGCGGAUUAGCCUGUUGGCGGUGUAAUGGACCACCAAAGCUAUGAUCCGUACGGGCAUUGACAGAUGAAGCCCGGAGAAGGACACUGAGACAAGGGUCCUAGCCCUAAGGGGUGCAGCAAGUGCGAAACCUUCACAAUGCGCGCAAGCGUGAUGAGGGGACUCCAAGUGCCAGCACACUGUGUAGGCUGUGGCGAAGUGCAAACAGCUUCGCAAGAAAGGGGUGGGCAAUACUGGUGCCAGCAGCCGCGGUAAUACCAGAGCCCCGAGUGGUGGCCACUCUUAUUGGGCCUAAAGCAUCCGUAGCCGGGUGUGCAAGUCUUCGGUGAAAUCGGCCAGCUUAACUGGUCGGCGUGCCGAGGAUACUACACAUCUAGGGACCGGGGGGAGCCAAGAGUAUUCCUGGAGUAACGGCGAAAUGUUAUAAUCCCAGGAGGACUACCGGUGGCGAAGGCGCUUGGCUAAAACGGAUCCGACGGUGAAGGAUGAAAGCUGGGGGAGCAAAGCGGAUUAGAUACCCGCGUAGUCCCAGCUGUAAACACUGCCCGCUAGGUGCCACUCAUCUUUCGUGGGUGAGUAGUGCCGGCGUGAAGACAUUAAGC
rnacentral:rRNA from 1 species